GGGUCAGUAGGUUGGUCGUGCCACCGGUACGUACUGGUCUCACUGAUUCCUCCUUCCUGAAGAACCGUAAUGCCAUUAAUUUGGUGUUGCGGGGAAACAGGACUGUUACUUUGAAAAAAUUAGAGUGUUUAAAGCAAGCUAACGCUUGAAUACAUCAGCAUGGAAUAAUGAAAUAGGACGAUCGAUCCUAUUUUGUUGGUUUCUAGGAUUGACGUA
rnacentral:rRNA from 1 species